ACUGGGUUGGCCGAGUGGUUAAGGCGUUGGACUUAAGUUCCAAUGGACAAGUGUCCGCGUGGGUUCGUACCCCAAACCCAGUA
rnacentral:tRNA from 1 species